rnacentral:rRNA from 1 species
AGAGUUUGAUCCUGGCUCAGAUUGAACGCUGGCGGCAGGCCUAACACAUGCAAGUCGAACGGUAACAGGAAGAAGCUUGCUUCUUUGCUGACGAGUGGCGGACGGGUGAGUAAUGUCUGGGAAACUGCCGGAUGGAGGGGGAUAACUACUGGAAACGGUAGCUAAUACCGCAUAACGUCGCAAGACCAAAGAGGGGGACCUUCGGGCCUCUUGCCAUCGGAUGUGCCCAGAUGGGAUUAGCUAGUAGGUGGGGUAACGGCUCACCUAGGCGACGAUCCCUAGCUGGGUCUGAGAGGAUGACCAGCCACACUGGAACUGAGACACGGUCCAGACUCCUACGGGAGGCAGCAGUGGGGAAUAUUGCACAAUGGGCGCAAGCCUGAUGCAGCCAUGCCGCGUGUAUGAAGAAGGCCUUCGGGUUGUAAAGUACUUUCAGCGGGGAGGAAGGGAGUAAAGUUAAUACCUUUGCUCAUUGACGUUACCCGCAGAAGAAGCACCGGCUAACUCCGUGCCAGCAGCCGCGGUAAUACGGAGGGUGCAAGCGUUAAUCGGAAUUACUGGGCGUAAAGCGCACGCAGGCGGUUUGUUAAGUCAGAUGUGAAAUCCCCGGGCUCAACCUGGGAACUGCAUCUGAUACUGGCAAGCUUGAGUCUCGUAGAGGGGGGUAGAAUUCCAGGUGUAGCGGUGAAAUGCGUAGAGAUCUGGAGGAAUACCGGUGGCGAAGGCGGCCCCCUGGACGAAGACUGACGCUCAGGUGCGAAAGCGUGGGGAGCAAACAAAAUUAGAUACCCUGGUAGUCCACGCCGUAAA